GUCUGUGGCCCUGCCGCCCUGAACAAGCCCCGGAAGCUGAGCAGGGUCGGGCCUGGUUAGUACUUAGAUGAGAGACCACCUAGGAAGACCAGGUGCCGUAGGCA
rnacentral:rRNA from 1 species